GAGCGGCGAACGGGUGAGUAACACGUGAGUAACCUGCCCCUGACUCUGGGAUAAGCCUGGGAAACCGGGCUCUAAUACCGGAUGUGACCUCCUCCGGCAUCGGAUGGUGGUGGAAAGUUUUUCGGUCAGGGAUGGGCUCGCGGCCUAUCAGCUUGUUGGUGGGGUAGUGGCCUACCAAGGCGACGACGGGUAGCCGGCCUGAGAGGGCGACCGGCCACACUGGGACUGAGACACGGCCCAGACUCCUACGGGAGGCAGCAGUGGGGAAUAUUGCGCAAUGGGCGGAAGCCUGACGCAGCGACGCCGCGUGGGGGAUGACGGCCUUCGGGUUGUAAACCUCUUUCAGCAGGGACGAAGUUGACGUGUACCUGCAGAAGAAGCGCCGGCUAACUACGUGCCAGCAGCCGCGGUAAUACGUAGGGCGCAAGCGUUGUCCGGAAUUAUUGGGCGUAAAGAGCUCGUAGGUGGCUGGUCGCGUCUGCCGUGAAAGCCCGCAGCUUAACUGCGGGUCUGCGGUGGAUACGGGCCGGCUAGAGGUAGGUAGGGGCAAGUGGAAUUCCU
rnacentral:rRNA from 1 species